AUUGGGCUUUCGAAAUUUUGGGGUUUGUAGGGAAGAACAAGAGGGAAGCUGGAGAAGCUAUAGAGAAGAUUGUUAAAAAAACCCGGUCGGUUUGAUAUAGGUUUUUCUGGUUUUUAUGUUAAAAAAACCGAACCGGACCGAACCGAAACCGGUCGGUUUGAACCGAUCCCGGUUCGGUUCCGGUUCAAAAUUUUCAGUUUUUCAAAAUUUUAUUUUGGUUAUUUUUUUAGAUAAAAACCGAACCGAACCGAAAAUGAUCACCC
rnacentral:lncRNA from 1 species